GGGCCCGCACAAGCGGUGGAGCAUGUGGUUUAAUUCGACGCAACGCGAAGAACCUUACCAGCUCUUGACAUGGGUAGUAUGGACCUGGGCGACUGGGUCCUUCAGUUCGGCUGGCUACCACACAGGUGCUGCAUGGCUGUCGUCAGCUCGUGUCGUGAGAUGUUGGGUUAAGUCCCGCAACGAGCGCAACCCUCAUCUUCAGUUGCCAUCAGGUUAAGCUGGGCACUCUGGGGAAACUGCCGGUGACAAGCCGGAGGAAGGCGGGGAUGACGUCAAGUCCUCAUGGCCUUUAUGGGCUGGGCUACACACGUGCUACAAUGGCGGUGACAGUGGGUUCUGCGCGAAGGGGCGACCCGGAGCCAAUCCCCAAAAGCCGUCUCAGUUCGGAUUGCACUCUGCAACUCGAGUGCAUGAAGCUGGAAUCGCUAGUAAUCGCGGAUCAGCACGCCGCGGUGAAUACGUUCCCGGGCCUU
rnacentral:rRNA from 1 species